UUACACCAAUUAAAGUAACAUUUGUCUUGCAUUUUUUCACUUUGAUUUGUUGAUUUUUCAAGUUAAUUGCUUGAUUUGGCGUAUACACUUGAUAUUGAUAAAUAUUUAUCCUUCUGUAAAGUUGUUUUUUGAGUAGUUAAUGAUCAAAAACGCAACUCAAGUUUUUUUUUCUCGUGAAUUUCAUACUCCAGCUAUAAGUUGUUUUCUUUUUGUAUUUUAACUAUCUAUGUAUUAAAAGGAUUAACUGAUAGAUGUGGUAUGAAAUUCGCGAAAAAAUGAUUGUUCAGAUUCAUAGUUGGAGUUCAUAUUGUUAUGGCUAUGACGAUAAAAAAUAUAAAAGUAGUGGACUGAAAAAUACAUUGAUGAAUAAAUUAAUUCUGAGCGAUGCUUAUUUCAUGUUCUUAUUUAUCUUAUGUUAUAUAUUUUUUUUCAUUUUUCACACUACAUCCCUGUGAUGAGUUCUUUCUAAAUUUAACGUUAAAAGUAGACUGAUCUUUAAAGGAAGAAAAAUACUCAAUUCUGAGGGAUGAAUUAUUUUCUUACAUUAGUCCUUUUUUUUAGUUGGGAAUUUUACAAAUUCUAGUUGAUAGACAAGUUAAGAUUCUAAUUAUUUGCUGCUAUUUGAAAAUUACUGAACUUUUUUGUUCCAACGACUGUAGCCAAUUUAAGAAAGUUCUUUUUUUUUUGCUGUGAUUUGUUAUAAAUUGUGUUGUAUUUAGAAUAUUUGAAUCUCUGUGAUGAACUAGCUGAAUAAUUUAAAAGUAGUGGCCUGAUGACCAUUGAUGAAAAGCUUUGUUCUGAGGGAUUCCGCAAAAUGUUGGUUGGGCGGAGGGGCUCUACUGGAGUAACUAGUUUUUUUGCUUUAAUUUUACCACAUAUGUAGUGUUGAUUUGCACGUUGAGUGGCACUUGAUAUUAUGUUUGACCAGUUUUUUGCUUAAAGAUGGUGCCUUUUUGUUGUUAGACAUCAUCCCUCUAGAGUACUAUCGUUUUCUUUGUCAGUAAUUUUGUAAUGUACCUCGUUUUAGAAAUUAUUUGUUGUUGUUAUAUGUUAUAAUGUGUCUUGUGUUUUACUUGAGACGAGGGUUUGACUGAAAUAACCUCUUUACAAGGUAGGGGUAAGGCUUCGUACACAUCACCCUGCUUAGACCUCACUUGUGGUUUGUCGUGUUGUUGUUGAAUCCCUCUGAUGAAUUAGCUGAAUAAUUUAAAAGUAGUGGCCUGAUGACCAUUGAUGAAAAGCUUUGUUCUGAGGGAUUCUUUGUUUAUUUAUUGACUUGAUGUGGUAAAAGCUAGAUUUUGCUUUUGAUGUUAUGUUUAAACAUCUUCUUUUUUUUGCUUUAAAUGGUGUCUUUGUCUUGUUAGGUGUUAUUGUUCUCGAGUACUAUUGUCUUCUUAGUCAGUAAUAUGCAACUUGCAUCUCCAUAAAUAUUAGCUAUGGCAAUUUAAGGUUGUGAACUGAAGCCAAUUGAUGAUUUACAUUGUGACAGGUGAUUUUAAAAAUUAUUUAUUGCUGUGAUAUGUUAUAAUGUGUCUGCUUUUUCAGAAGUUUCUUUGAUACUUGUGAUGAAUCAACUGAAUAAUUUUAAAGUAGUGGCCUGAUGACCAUUGAUGAAAAACUUUUUGCCGAGGGAUUUCUUGUUUACAUUUAGUGUUAAGUAGUUUUUGCCUUAAUUUUACCACAAAUGUACUGUCAAUUUGCAUAUACAAUGGCACUCGGUAUUACAUGUUUAUGCCUAAAAAUCUAAAAAUGUGGUGUCUUUUUUCUUGUUAGGCAUCAGUCAUCACUAUUCUGGAGUGCUAGUCAAUAAUAUGGUUAUUUACAUCGUCUUAGAAUAUUGUUAUACUGCGAUAUGUUAUAAUGUGUCUUGAUUUUUCAGAAGUAUUUAAAUCCCGAUGAUGAAGUUAGCUGAAUAAUUUAAAAGUAGUGGCCUGAUGACCAUUGAUGAAAAGCUUUACUCUGAGGGAUUUCAUGUUUCUUUGCUUUGUUUCUUCUUCUUCUUCACAAAGGGACUUGAUAUGGUUAAACUAGUUUUUGUUUUAGUUAACAUAUGUUGUGUCAAUUCGCACGUACAAUUGUACGCGAUAGUGUUUUUAAGCCCUUUUUCUUUUUGCCAAUACAUAUUGUCUUUUUCUUGCUAGCCAUCAUCCUUCUACUACUAUUGUUUUCUUAGUCAGUAAUUUGGUAAUAUACUUCAUCUUAAAGUAUUUUCUUGUAUUCAUACAUGGGUAUAGCCAGGUGAUGCCGGAAAAUUAUAUGGUUAAAAUUACUUUUUUUGUAGACAUAGUAGAUGUUGAACCUCAUUCGGCUUCUUUGUGUGUUAACUUCUUCAUAUUUUGAUCCCUUAAGUGAAAAUCUUGGCCUUGCCACUGUUUAUACAUACGAUGCUUAAUAAGAUACUUUCAACUAUUGUGCAAAUAUAGUACAUAGAUAUUGCCAAAGGUUCUUAUUCAGAUCCCUGUGUUAGAUUGUGUGGAGCCAAAAAAAAAAAUAUGGUGAACUUGUUUUUGCUUUAAUUGUACCACAUCUGUGGUGUCGAUUUGCUUGUACAAUGGCACUCAAUAUUACAUUUAAUAUAUUUUCUUGUAUAUAUAUACCUAAGAUACUUAUGUAAUGUUACUCAACUUUCAACUGUCAAUUCUGAGUUGUACCAUAUUAUAGUUUUAUGAGUUGGAUGUGAUGAAUAGAUUUUGUCAAAGGUACUUGUUCAGAUUCUUCCUUUGUUUGAUAUACUUGUCCCCUUGUUUGUUGUAAGAUUGUGUGGAGUUCAAAAAAAGAGAACAAGAUUGUACUUGACAUUGUUUGUUGCUUUAUCUCUAGUUGUCAUCCACAUCAAGGGUUCAAGUAACAACAACAAUUUACUCUGUAUAAUCUCACAAGUGGUGUUUGAAGAGGAUAGAAUGUAUGCAAAAGUGGCGUCUCCGAUAAACCGUCCAUCAAAAGAUAAGAGUUCAAGGAAUAUAACCCAAAAUAUAUGAAUGUUUGGAGAGGAUAGAAUGUACGCAAAAGUGGCGUUUCUGAUCAAAAAGAUAAGGGUCCAAGGAAUAUAGCCCAAUAUAUAUGAAGGGACAACUAUGAGAACAAAGAUAGAGAACUAGAUAUGUACAAAAUUACAAGAUUGAUUCUCCUGUUUGCAUCCAAAGCUCUGAUUUGAGUUUGUGUAUUACAAUAUUUUAGAUACUAUUUAUAAACAAUUUGAGUUUAAACAUUUUAUAUUGUCCUUUAUUAAAUGAUUUAG
rnacentral:lncRNA from 1 species